AAAACGUUGCGUAGCUGCUGAAGUUUCACUCCAAGUUGGUCGAGACAGAAUGAGACCAAGUGAACCUCUAAACAUCACAAGGUUUGUGAUUUGAAAUUUAUCAAAUACUUGAUUCAGUUCAGAGCAGGAAACUGAAAUUGUUCCUAUUUAAAAUGAUGAGGGAGGACAAGUAAUGUUUUUAAACUCCAUCAGAGAAACAUGAUAAGAAGUUAAAUUGAUGAAUAAGUGGACGGUUCACAGACAGAGUUUGACAAACUGUGUAAAAUGUGACGAGCUGACAGUUUAAAUGAAGAACAGCUGGUGUCUGGUUAGAAUAAUGUGUCUUUCUCUGGGAGGAGUCAGGAACUAGUUAUUAGCUGUUUAUUCCCAUUCUGACCUGAGCUGUUGUCUUUGUGUGGAGUUUGUCCAUAAAGUCAAACACUAAGAAAAGGAAACAUGAAGUAUUCUUCACAGUACAAGUACACCAUCAACAGUUUUUAGUGUUUUCCAGCAGAGGGCGCUGAUUCCACUAAUUAAUACUGAAUCAACAGAGUAGAUGAAGAUGUUCUAAUGUAAAGUGUUCAAUCAAAAACCAAACAACCAGGAGUCGAUGUGGUUUUGAUUCAGUUUCCUCUGUUUUUCUUCUUUUCCUCUGAUCUGUCUGAUUCCAUUUCUCUUUGAUCUGAUGUUUGUGACUCUUCACCUCUGUCUCCUCUCACAGGGAGAAGAUGAUCUUCAGGAUCCUGCUGCUCAUCAACCUGAUCUCAUGUGUCUCUGGAACAUUUGUAGUGAAUGUGACACAGACCUCCUAUCAGGCAGAGGAGAACCACAACAUCACACUGGAGUGGACGUUCACUUUCAGACCUCACACAUCCUCUAACUCAGUAAACAUCUUCUGUGACAUGUUUACUGACCACAGUCACUUAGUCCUGUUUCACCUCCAUGAAGGUGUUGAGGUCUCAGAGACUUAGGAUCAACAGUUUUCAGGAAGAGUCCAGUUUGACAAAGACGUCCUCAGAGAAGGACGAAUCAGACUCCGACUGUCCAGACUCAGGACUAAUGACUCAGGACUGUACCUGUGUGAAGUGAAAACAGAUCAAGGUUGGAGCUCUGACAGAUGUCGACUCAACGUCACUGGUGAGUUGAUUUUUAUUGAACUCAACAGCAGCAGCUCAAAAAUACUGAGAUUUUAAAUUUACAGUGAUAAAAACACAAAAGAAGCAAAGAACCAACAAACAUUCAGAUUUUCUGUUAAUAAAGAAUUUGUGAUCAGCACAAAUCUAAAAUCUUGUGAUUGUGAUUCAAAACAUUUUCCUCAGCUUCUUGUCCAGAGUGAAACUGAAGAAGCUACGAAGCUGUUUAUUUCUAGAUUUGAUUCUCAGCUAAGUGAACUGAUCGUUAGCUGCAGACACUAAAUCUUCUUCAGUGAAACUCAGCAAGAAAAUGAGUGAACACAUCAUUUAGAAAUGUCUUUAUUUUGUCAGCUUCUGAUUCUCUGUUUAAAUCCAGAACUGUUCCAUCCAGUACAGUAGUUACUGAUGUUGAACUACUGAACAUCUGGAACUGUUUGAUCAUCCAGAUCAUCAUUUAAAACUACAGAUGUUCCAGAUGCUCUUUUUACUCUGUUUCAUUUCUUUCUAUUUGCUCAUAUUUCUGGAGAGUUUCUCUGUGACCUUUGACCUUUUGGACAUUUCCUGUCAGCUGUUAAUACA
ensembl:lncRNA